AGUCGCGAAACCUUCGCAAUGCGCUAACGCGCGUCGAGGGAACCCGGAGUGCUCAUGCUCUGCAUGAGCUUUUGCCUACUGCAAACAGGUAGGCGAAUAAGGGGUGGGUAAGACGGGUGCCAGCCGCCGCGGUAAUACCCGCGCCCCAAGUGGUAUCCACGAUUAGUGGGUCUAAAGCGUCCGUAGCCGGUUUGGUAAGUCCCCAGUGAAAUCCUUCGGCAAACUGAAGGACUUGCUGGGGAUACUGCCGAACUUGGGACUGGGAGAGGGUAGACGUACUCCCGGGGGAGGGGUAAAAUCCUAUAAUCCCGGGGGGACGACCUGUGGCGAAGGCUUCUACCUGGAACAGGUCCGACGGUGAGGGACGAAAGCUAGGGGAGCGAUCGGGAUUAGAUACCCCGGUAGUCCUAGCUGUAAACGAUGCCCGCUUGGUGUUGCAAACCUUUUGGGGGUUUGCAGUGCCGGAGCGUAGGUGUUAAGCGGGCCACCUGGGGAGUACGGCCGCAAGGCUGAAACUUAAGCGAAUUGGCGGGGGAGCACACAAGGGGUGGAGGCUGCGGUUCAAUUGGAUCCAACGCCGGACAUCUCACGGGGAUCGACAGCAGGAUGAAGGUCAGUCUGAAGGGCUUACCAGACAAGCUGAGAGGAGGUGCAUGGCCAUCGUCAGCUCGUACCGUGAGGCGUGCGGUUAAGUCCGUUAACGAGCGAGACCCGCGCCCUAUGUUGCUACCUCGCGAGAGGGCACUCAUAGGGGACCGCUGGCGAUAAGCCAGAGGAAGGUGCGGGCGACGGUAGGUCCGUAUGCCCCGAAUUUCCCCGGCUACACGCGGCCUACAAUGCGCAGGACAAUGGGUUGCAACUCCGAAAGGAGAAGCCAAUCCCCUAAACCUGCGCUCAGUUCGGAUCGAGGGUUGUAACUCACCCUCGUGAAGCUGGAAUCCCUAGUAGACGAACGUACAGUAUCGUUCGUCGAAUACGU
rnacentral:rRNA from 1 species